GCCAGCUGAUGCCAGGAAAAUUUAGCUCUAGAUGAAGUGCUGAGUGGGUGCUCAGAUCUAACAUCCGGUUGGAGAGAAAUACUUUCAGUAAGUGUAAAAUAAUAGGGGUUUUCAUACAUCUCUUAUCUGAGAGGUAAGUGCAUUUUUUGCCCUUUCCACAGAAAGGGCAUGUGUAAGAAGAGGUUAUGACUUAAUAUGUCUUGACCUGUGUGAUGUACAAGAGGCCAAUCAACAGGGACAGAAAGGGGACAGGGGUUGCUUUUGCUUUGCUACUUCUCUGCUUUUACAGAGCAAAAGAGGAGGAAAAAAAACCCACCAAAAAACAGAAAUCAGUUUUUCUUGUUUCAUUCUUUUGAUGAGGACGGUCAAUGGGAGGAUUAAGGUUAUAUAAAAAGUCAUGUGUUGCUGUAAUUGGACUGAAAGCUGUGUUUCAGCUUAAUUCAUAUUUUAUAAUGCUUGUUUUUUCAAAGUGCAGUGGUGGAAUAACGUUGCUGUAAUUCUCUCUUGGCAGCAUUCCUUGCCUUCUGAAGUAGGUGGUUGGCUUGCAGCUAUUAAAUUCCUUUAUUUAUAGCAGUAAUCUAUUCCAGGAUAAAAUACAGGGGGUUAGAAGUGUAACACUGCCUUGCUAGAGGAGUGGUUUAUUCCUAGUUUCUGUUUUGCAUCCCCAGUUGCAUGACUGUAGGAAGUGUUUUCUGUUGAGCUCUGUUGCAGCUUAGCAUUUUGCUCUCCUCACAUGUGAGCAGCAUGUUCAUUCCUGAAAUUUAUAGAUUUGGCCUUUCACAAAACACUUCAAAUAUAACUUAGUAAAGUAAUUGAAGUUAUGGGGUUGGGUGUGAUUUGGAGGGGAGGGUUCGUUAUGGUGGUUUUUUUGCUUUUGGGGUUUUUUUAAUCCACCUAUUCAAGUUUUUCUCUUUCAGAAACUUUUCCAGGUCAGUACUUCAUGGGAAGGAGUAGUUGUCACUGCUGAAUAACAAAGCAUCUGUGUGUAGUGUUGAUCAUUCUCUUUGUAAAUGUCCACUUCUGCUAAUUUAACUCUGAAAAACACAGUAAUCUAUCCACACAGAAACAAGGUGCAGGAAUAUAUUGGAAUGUGCUGCCAGGGAAUGCUUUGGACAAGGCAAGACCUAUGGUAGGAGCAUGACAGCUAAAAUUGUAUCAGUCCUUUCUAUAAGGAAGUGUCACUUUCUGGGAAUAACUUGCUUUCCGUGUUAAAUAUUUCACUACUUAGAGCAAUGUUUUCCUUCUGCACAGAUUUAAACUUACAUUGGGGGUUAAUUAAUACUAUUGACGUCUUCUGUUAAAACUUGCAAGCUUUCUGGAGCAAGUUUCUUCCCUACUUUGUUUUUUAUUUGCUCUUACAGUGUAGUGCUCUCUGAUGACCCACUUGUUAAAUAGUGGUAGCUCCCUUACAGUAAAUGAAUCUUGACUUCACAAGUUACCUGGAAAAAUUCCUACAGCUGGAGCUGAAGUCAGCAAGGACAAAGUCAGUAGUAAUAGAGGUAAAAAAGCAAGUUGACGAAAUGGAUGUGAAAAAGGAAUUUCUGGAAGGAGCUGCCCAGCUAAGCAGAACCUGUGCUCAGUGUUUGAGUUGUGCCUGAGGCUGGGUUAUAGAACAUCUCCUCCGUUGGAUGUCCUGCAGCUGAGGCCAAAGCCGUGCACUUCCCAGCAGGGAGCAGAUCUGUGCUGCACCCUUAGCAGAGGUGGAGAAAUCCUGGGCAGAAGCUCAUGACCAGGAGUAGCAUUUUCAAGAGAAAAAGGAGGCAGCCCAUAACUGAGACAGUUUAAAAGAAGAAAACCUAGAGGUGAACAGAGAGGUGGGGACUUCACACCAAGAAUGCUCUGCCUUCAAGCACCUGGAACCCUUCUGGUUUGCAUCUCUCUGCUGGAAGUGGCAAUCAGCAUGUGGCAUAUACUCCCUUCUGUAUGCUCUAAGUAGCUCAUGGGCUGCACGGAAUAAUGAAGAAAGUUAUCUUUGAAAACAGCCACGCAGAGCAUGAAAAGAAUCAGGGGAGGACAAAUCUAAAUUUAAAGGCAAGUAAGUGUCUUAAUUAAAAGGUAUCAGUAUAUCGGUAAUUCUAGUGAAUUUUGUCAGGUUACAAGACUUCUUUAUUUACUGUCUGCUUCAUAGAAGUUACAUUUGAUUAAAACAGUUGUACCUGAGAAGAAGAGCAUCAAGCUUCUGUAUCCAGUAUUGCCACUUUGUUUGAUCCCAAUUCUUGUUUUACCUGGUGCUUUCACUAAACCUCACCUGCAAGAAUGAGAAGAACUAACACUGUUCAGUGUUUUGGGGUUUUUUAUUUUGUUGUUCUUGGUUGGGGUUUUCUGUUGGGUUGUUUGCAGCCCUUGUGGCUGCAGUGAAAAGUCUGGAUGUCUGAAGGACAGUCCCCCAGGGAUUCAAAACUGGAAAAGCAAGUCAAA